rnacentral:rRNA from 1 species
GACGAACGCUGGCGGCGUGCUUAACACAUGCAAGUCGAACGAAGAGCGACGGAAGCUUGCUUCUUUCAAUCUUAGUGGCGAACGGGUGAGUAAUGCGUAAUCAACCUGCCCUUGAGAGGGGGACAACAGUUGGAAACGACUGCUAAUACCCCAUACGACCUAAUCUCAGCAUCGAGGAUGGAUGAAAGGUUGCCUCUACAUGUAAGCCAUCACUGAAGGAGGGGAUUGCGUGGGAUUAGCUAGUUGGGGGGGCAAAGGCCCCCCAUAGGGAAGAUCAGUAGGCUGUCUGGGAGGAAGGACGGGCACAAUGGGACUGGGAACAGGCCCAGGACUCUACGGGGAGGAGCAGGUGGGGAUCAUCCGACAUGGAGGGAAGUCUGGAGGCACAACUCCGGGUGGGAGGUAAAAGGCUUCGGGUUUGAAAGGUCCGUUAAGCGGGGAGAAAGGCAUUCUUGCGAAUAGCUAGAAGGAUUGACGGUACCGGAAGAGAAAGCCACGGCUAACUACGUG